UAGUCAUAUGCUUGUCUCAAAGAUUAAGCCAUGCAUGUCUAAGUAUAAACAACUUUAUACUGUGAAACUGCGAACGGCUCAUUAUAUCAGCAAUUAUUUAUUUGAUGGUCUCUUACUACAUGGAUAACCGUAGUAAUUCUAGAGCUAAUACAUGCGUAAAGACCCGACUCUUGCGGGGAGGGUUGUAUUUAUUAGAUUAAAAACCAAUGCGGGCUAUGCCCGGUUUCAUGGUGAGUCAUAGUAACUUUUCGGAUCGCAUGGCUUCACGCCGGCGACAGUUCAUUCAAAUUUCUGCCCUAUCAGCUUUCGACGGUAGUGUAGUGGACUACCGUGGCAUUUACGGGUGACGGAGAAUUAGGGUUCGAUUCCGGAGAGGGAGCCUGAGAAACGGCUACCACAUCUAAGGAAGGCAGCAGGCGCGCAAAUUACCCAAUCCUGACAUAGGGAGGUAGUGACAAUAAAUAACGAUACCGGGCGUUUUCACGUCUGGUAAUUGGAAUGAGUACAAUUUAAAUCCCUUAACGAGGACCAAUU
rnacentral:rRNA from 1 species